rfam:Aedes aegypti strain Liverpool supercont1.31 genomic scaffold, whole genome shotgun sequence.
AUUAUUUCGUUGACAGUGUUCAACAAAUCAA